GGCUAGGUGGCGGAGUGGUUAACGCGGUAGACUCGAAUCACACGAAAUCUACUUCCUUCGGGAGCGUCUGUUCGAAUCAGGCCCUAGUCG
rnacentral:tRNA from 1 species